ACCUGGGUGGCUCAGUUGGUUGAGCAUCUGACUCUUGAUUUUGGCUCAGGUCAUAAUCCCAGGGUUGUGGGAUCAAGCCCCAUGUCAGGUU
rnacentral:tRNA from 1 species